GUGCCAGGGGAAGGGGGACGGCGCAGGGAGCCCCCUCUCGGGAAGCACACGCGCUGCCUCCCAGAGGCCGAUCUUCACCAAGAAGGAUUCGCUGGAAACUUUCGGAAAAACCGAGGGGCUCUUCAGCCUCCUCUCUACUUGCUACCUGGAGUCGGGGCGCCGCGAGUGCGCUUGGCUGCCCGCGCCCAGCUUCUGGCCUCGCCUCUUCUCGCGGGCCUCCCGGGUUUCCCUCUGCCCCCUUGUGGGGAUCCCCCUGUGCGCCCGACUCGGGAUCUGGAACAGGCCUCCCCAGAGGCUGUUGGUUCCAUAAGGGUGUCCGGGCUCCCCCCACUGGCCUGGGCUCACACUUCGCUUUCUGUUCAUGCUGGACCAAGCCCAGUAACACUGUGGCUGAUCGAAGUGGGGACAGCUGGCACGGUCCCUGGAGUCCCUGGAGAGGCGGCCUGAAGAGGCUUCUGGCCUUGUGCAGGUAACACCAGCCUGCCCUACCUCCAACGUUAGAAUCUUAGUCCUCCCAUUUCCCCCAUUCUAGGUCUCCUGCCCCUCCUUGCUGAAGGUGUGGGCUGCCCUAGAGAUGGCUGGACUCACGACCCUGCAGAAGGUGCCCAUUUGAAGGGGAUCUCUGGCCAUCCCAGACACAGCCCACUCUCCCUCAUUGGGUUUCCCUGGACUCUUCCCAGAUGCUACCCUGGGGCUGCUGGAUGUGCUGAGGAGGAGAUGCCAUUGUGGGAGGGCUGAAAACAAAAGACCUUGUCCAGAAAGGGAUCACCUGAAACCAGGUGUCUGUCUAGGUGACUGUCUCCAUGGAAUCCAUUCAGAUCAGGGAAUCUAGCUUCAUACCCUAAAGAGGUGGAAAGGAAGCAGGGAACCUCUGUAUAGGGCUCCCCAGUCUAGGUCUGUUCAAAUGUGUCCCCACCUGUGACUGACCUUCUACCCCCCCUCCCCGACCUCCUCCUAAUCUUUGACAGCACCUAGGGACAGCAAGGUCACAGCAAAGGGCAAAGGAAGUGGUCAUAGGUGGCCUCCUUUCCACAGAAAGGCCAUUUCACCCAGGGAGACCAGAGACUUUUCCUUCGUGGAUACUAAGGAGGGUGUAAAAAUACGAGUUCAUCCAUGCUGCAGUGUGUGGGGAGAAUUCUCUAGUUGUGUUAUCUCCAUCAAGCUUUUGCAGACACAGAAAAGAAAGUUUAGGAGCCGAGAAGAAUUCAACUAACAUGGAAAGACACUCAAAUAGUGUUUUCUAGUGAAAACGAGGGAAAAUAAAAGAUUUUGGAGUGAAGGGCACUGUUAAAGUAAAGCACAGAGAGUGAUUCCUUGGGCGGCCAGGCACCACCUAGGGAAGAAAGGUGGGGAUCCUGGUCCCUAGGUUGACAGCAACUGAGACCUGAUAGGUUCCUCAGCCCACCAGGUGAUGGCCAAGUGAGACAGGCCUCUCCAAAGAAAACAGUCAUUUUUUUUCCUACCUGUCCCUUGCAGUCUUUGGAAGCUCCCUCCAGAAACUGAACUGUGAAAGGAGCAAGAGUUGAAAUGAAGAAUGUGCUCUGAUACUUCAGUCUGAGAGUAUUUCUUGCCUGGAGAGAGAGGCAUCACUCCCAGAUGUGUGGGGGUCUUCACCCUUUCAGGAAUAAGACAGUCUUUACAGAGUACCUCCCCACCUUGGGCUGGGUUCUGGGGUCACUGUCUACUCCCCCUGUUUUGACCUCCCAUAAACAUUCCGUUUUCAGGUCCCUGCAGAGACUUUGGACCUGACGUGGUGAAUAAAGGUGGUUAGUCUUUCUCACAGUUCUGCCUUUAGGACAAAGAAUAGAAAGCCUCCCGCGACUAUGUUCACUAACUCUCAGCCCAGGCCAGAUCACCCACCAGCCAGUGAAUGGGACCUCGUCUGUGCCCAAACUAGGUGCAGCUCGGUGCCCUCCUGUGAUAUUUCCAGCUCUCCAGCCUCCUGCUGCCUGCAGCUCACAGACCUCAUGGAGCAGGUUCCAGGACAAAGCAAGGUUAUGUCUCCACAACACCAAACAUUCCCAGGUGUGGCAGGCAAGCCAUUGAUUUAGAAGAGAGGAAGAGAAAACCAGAAAAGCCACUUUCUUGGUAAGGAGACAUCAGCUUUCUCACCAUGGCUGUUUCAUAACACAAGGAGACUUGGCCCAAGCUCAGAAGGGAAAGAUCCCUGGGUGUUCAUGGAAAACUUUAAGCACAGUGAGAUCAAAUGUUAGCAGAUGGGGGGAUAAAAGGGGGAGAAAUUCAUGGAGUAUGCCUAGAACAGGCCUUGUAUGCAGCAACCCCUUCUUGCCUAGGGACUUGAAGGGCCAGGCUUCCUGUCACUGCCUCACUCAAAUGUAGCCCAGGAAGACAUUACACUGAUAGCACUGAUCACUGCCAGACAAAACCCCCUGCACCUGCACAGUCACGUAGACUUAGACAAAACCCCAUCCUUGCUAAGGAAGACCUAACAACUAUUUCUUCUUAUGCCCAUUCUUGUCCACCGUCUUUAUCAAAAAGCCAGGAAAACUGCUUCUUCAGACACUUUCUGAGCUGGCUGUAUUUUGAAGGACCAAAAAAAAAAAAAAAUUACUCUUUUGAGACUAUUGUGUCUGCAAGGUGGGCUUCACGUUAUUUUCAGUGAUCAGUUUAUGACUGGAGUUCAAAUAGACUGCUUAUUUUAUAAGAGUUUUUAAUUUUGAAUUUUCUUUUUGCCCAACUGUGUGCAUUUGUUUGGUUUUUAACUCACCACAUGAAUAUGACUAUAGAUUUUUUUUUCCUAGUUGACCAUGGUCAGAUUCACAAUUGCCUUUAAAAAAAAUUUGUUGGCCAGGCACGGUGGCUCACGCCUGUAAUCCCAACACUUUAGGAGGCUGAAGCGAGUGAAUCACCUGAGGUCAGAAGUUCGAGACCAACCUGGCCAACAUGGUGAAACUCCAUCUCUACUAAAAAUAUAAAAAUUAGCCAGUCAGGGUGGCGCGCGCCUGUAAUCCCAGCUACUCAGGAGGCUGAGGCAGGAGGAUCGCUUGAACCCAGAAGGUGGAGGUUGCAGUGAGCCGAGAUCGCGACACUGCACUCCAGCCUGGGUGGCAGAGUGAGACUCUGUCUCAAAGAAAAAAAAAAAAGAAAAUGUGUUGAGGUAUAACAUACAUGAGGCAAAACGCACACAGCUUAAGCAUUAACUCAAUGACUUUGUAUAUACGUAUAUAUCCUCAUAGGUUCCAGACCAAGACAUGGAACAUUUCCUGCUCUCCGUGGAAGUCUCCCUUGUGCCAGCCCCUCACCAGGCAAUAAUUCCCCAGAGAUAGUACCUCUUCCCAACCCCGUACCCUAGAUCAUUGUUGCCUGUCCUUGAACCUCAGACAAAGGGAGGCUGCUUUUGCCCAUCUUCGUUUUUGUGAUGUCUCUCCACUGUGGUGUGCAUAGCUGUGAUUUUUUCUUUUUCACGCUGUGAAGGUGUAGGUGGUUUUUACCUAAUGCUUCAAUUCCCUUCCAACUUUAGUAUAAGCCAAGAAUAAUCAAACCACUACAUCUGGAUCAGAGACAAAUGACCUCCCAGAUUGGCGAGUUUUAUAAGGAAAUUCAGCUGAAAUUGAAACAGUCAUCAGCUGCUUCUCAAACCAGCUACACUGCAUAAGGAGGAGCCCAAGGGAAACUGCAGGACAACAGGUCCACUGGGAAACUUCAGGGGGCCAAACUGUCAAAGACAAGCACAGAAAAAUUCCUGCAAUGUGCAUUAGACUUUGAGGCAGCUUUUAAUGGCAAAAGUCAGUACAACCCAUUUCCUUUUUCUUCUAAAUGAGAGGAAAGUAGAAUAGGUUCCAUCAGGAAAGAUUCACACCCAGGCCAUGACAAACUCAUGGAGGAUCCUGUCAAUCAAAUUCCUUUCUGCUAGGCAGAAAAAGUAAGUGGGAGCUUGUCAGUAAUGUGCAUUCCCAACCUAUCCUGAGGAUGUGGGACUCAGGAAGCCCAACAAUCUGCCCUAUUUACAAGGUCCCAGGUAUCCAUUCAUAUUAAGGUUUGAGACCUGCUGUUUCAGAGAAAGGGACAGCUUGGCAUGUAUUUUUUGGUAAAUCCUGGAGGGCAAGUCUAAAAAGCAAAAAUAUACCCCCAGCACCUAUUUGUCGAUCCUUUAAAUUGACUUGUUUGGGGUGUUUGGAAGAAAUAAAGACGGAGUAUGAAAACACAACCCCUAGCUAUGUCUAUAUAUAUUUCAUUUUUCACAUGAGUACUAUGUUUCUUAAAGACUCCUGUAAGAAAUAAUUCAGAACCACAUAAAUAAUAAAGAGAUUAAAAUUUUUAAUCCACAGAGGACAAACAUUAAGUUUUCACAAUUUGAGGAAUUUGUUCAUUCUAUCAGGAUCAUUCAGUAAGAAAACACAUACAUGCCACUAAUUUAAUUUUGCCCUUGUAAAGUUGGGCAG